AGGUAUCCUGCGUUCUUGUCUGACCGGUUGUGGCCACCUGUGAUCGCAGCAACAGCAUCCGCAUACUCCUACAGUCCGGAGGAGGGAUUCAUCCAAGGACUUCAUCAAAGGGAUUCCUCAUGUGGAGGAAGAUUCUAAUCGGAUUGGCGGUUCUGUGCUUGGCCUCCACCGUGAUUUCCGCACAACGGAGAUCUUCCGGACGAGCACGCUCUCGUGGAUUUGGAUACCCUGGUGCUCAACCACGGGGGGCUGUGCAUCAUGCACUAGGCUGUUAUGGACUUUGUGGGAGGAGGAGCAGGCAAGGAUGUGUGCAUGAUUGGCACUGUGGGUUUGGAGGACCGUAUAUAACGUAUAUAUUGGGAUCUUCUACAGAACCGCCUAAAUAAAGUAAAGGCAACUCUGUCUUGAUAUGUAUGCAUGUAUUCUUCAUACUAGUAAGACGGUUAAGGGUCUGAAAUAUCAAAAAGAAUUAGGGAAAAUGUGACGGCAGCUGUGCAACAACUUCAUAUUGAUAAUUCAGUGUUGAUAUACCAGGUUUCUAAAUGAAUACGCAAGGAACAUCGAGAUCUGGCAACUGAAUCGAAAAAAAUGUAUAAGUACGUCGUUGCCCCAUUUUACAUUUAGCUGAGGCUGAAAAGGUAGCCUAUUAUCUCGUAUUUUGUAUUGUUUUGUUUUUUUUCUCCUAGCGUAUUCAUGAUCUAAAUAAAACUAA
rnacentral:lncRNA from 1 species